GCGCGGGUGGCGGAAUUGGCAGACGCGCAGGAUUCAGGUUCCUGUGUCCUAUUUGGACGUGAGGGUUCAAGUCCCUCCUCGCGCAC
rnacentral:tRNA from 1 species